UUAUGGCUCAGGAUGAACGCUAGCUACAGGCUUAACACAUGCAAGUCGAGGGGCAGCAUUGAGAUAGCUUGCUAUUCAGAUGGCGACCGGCGCACGGGUGAGUAACGCGUAUCCAACCUUCCCCUUAGUAGAGGAUAGCCCGGCGAAAGUCGGAUUAAUACUCUAUGUUGUAUUUUGAGGACAUCUGACGAAUACCAAAGAUUUAUCGCUAAGGGAUGGGGAUGCGUCUGAUUAGCUUGUUGGCGGGGUAACGGCCCACCAAGGCGACGAUCAGUAGGGGUUCUGAGAGGAAGGUCCCCCACAUUGGUACUGAGACACGGACCAAACUCCUACGGGAGGCAGCAGUGAGGAAUAUUGGUCAAUGGGCGAGAGCCUGAACCAGCCAAGUAGCGUGCAGGAACCGACUGCCCUAUGGGUUGUAAACUGCUUUUAUCAGGGAAUAAAGUGCGGCACGUGUGCUGUUUUGUAUGUACCUGAUGAAUAAGGACCGGCUAAUUCCGUGCCAGCCGCGGC
rnacentral:rRNA from 1 species